ACUUCAUCAUGGGAGGAUUUUUUAAAGGAAAUGUGUUUUGUAUUUCUUGUACCAGAGAAUGGUGAUGUUGAUUGAGUUUUUUCCAUGUGAAAAAUGUACCUGUUUGCCAAAUGUUCCUAGACUGCUCCUAGCCUGUUAAUACAAGUAAAACUUUAGUGGGAUGGAGUCUGGCCUAAGUACAGAAUGAGAGAUUUAAUUAGAAAAGUUAUUUUCUUUUGUUCUGUAUCAAACUGCAGAACAGCUAUAUACUUGGUAUUUUGUACAUGAAUAACAUUUUAGCUUUUGUGCCCUUUUGAGCUUAAAGGGUUACCUUCAAAACUAUGAAGGAGAAGAAGACAAAGCUAAGAUACCACAUAAAGUAAAAGUUGACAUUACUUAUUUUCAUUCACAAUGCCCAUUAAAAAAAAUAGGUUGGGCAUGGUGGCUCAUGCCUGUAAUCCCAACACUUUAGGAGGCUGGUCUCAAACUCCUGACUUCAGAUGAUCCACUCGCCUUGGCCUCCCAAAGUGCUUGGAUUACAGGUGUGAGCCCCCGCGCCCAGCCGAAACAAAGCUAAAUGUAAUUUUAUGUACUGUUUUAACAGUAUAAACCUAUGGGAUAAAGGCCCCCUAAUCAUCAGAAGGACUACUGAAAAGAAAAAGCAAACGUAGAUGUCAAAUUGUCUAAUUAUUCUUAAGUACCACUGAUUUUUUUUUUCUGAACUGUUAUACAAAGAUGUCUGUAAAAAGUAUACCAGUGGCUUUUAUGCAUAUACAUGAUUAGAUGAUGAAAUAUAUGGGAUUUCAUGAGCCAGAGGAGGCAUUUGGAUCCAUUGGGCCACAUGUGACUAUAAGCACAUUGUGUAUACAAUAAAAUUGUAGCCACUCAUGUAUUAGAACUGUUUGGUAAAAGCUGUAUUAAAAGAAUAAUCUUUUGCUUGAGCUACUUAGUCACUUUUUUUCAGGGCACCAGAACGUAGGCUACUUUUCCAUAGCUUGUUUGCUAUGUUUUUAUUUCAUCUUAAAUCUGAGCCAUUUUUGGCAAUAUCUUUUUAAAAAUCAUUAUUAAACAUUUAUUGGAAAUGUUGUAUAGAUUCACAAGAAAGAGACACCAAAGUGUUUGGGGAUUUUAAUCCCAAGAAGUAAACAUCCCAGAGUCAGAUCCCAUUUGCUGUUGUUCAGCCAUGUUUGUAUGACUGAAUGUAAUUUAGGAAAUCAGGAGUUAAAGAUGAAAAAUACAAACAUGUAAAAUGGUUGUAAUUGCUUUUUUUGAACUUACUGGCUUUAACUUAAGUAAUAUAACUGUGUAGUUAUUUUAUCUAAAGAUGUCAGAUUAUCUGUGGCCCUGUUAAUUAACUGCAGGGACCAGAGAGAGGACAAUAAUGCCUGUAUAAUUUGCUUUAAAGGCUUGUCCUUAUGUUUGUAAUUUUGGUUAAAUAUUUUCUACAGAUUGCUUCACUUCCCCUUUCCCCCAAUAACAAGUUCAUAUUCUUGUAAUGUUUACUUUGGUCAACGUGGUAACUUUUGGAAGAAAAUGCCAAAAUGUAAGCUUUUCACAAGCAGCAAAGGAAUGUAACUAACUGCCUGUAGCUACCACAUCAAGGGAAAGAAGAGGCUUCCGUACUUUGGGUUGGUCUCACCGUACAAAAAAAGAGUGUACCCCUAUUGGAAGAAAUAAGGGAUACUUGAAGGUUUCUCAUUUUGUUACACUUGGUUCAUGUGCAAGGUUGAACCAUAUGAAACUGCCAGUGUUCAACCAUUGCUGAUCUGCAAAAGCGACAAUAUCAUAUGCCUCAACCUAAUACUUACUUUUAAAUGUGGGUUAAAAUCUCUGUGAGGCAAAGGGAUAAUGUUCUCUAGGAACUCACUUUUGAGAGUAUUUUUCUCUAACUCAUGUGGAUCUAAAUUUUAAAAAUAGGAAUGAAUCUCUUAAUUGCAGCUUGUGGAGAGUGUAAAACAUUUUGAGCACAACAUGCAGCACAUAACUUUUCAGAUUGUGUUUGCAUAGAAAAGGCUAAAAUCAAUUCUUUCAGUUACUGUAUUGUUCAUUUAUUGUAAAGGUCUUCCUACAUUUGAGACUAGACCCUUUAACAUAGGCUGCCUUAGUAACAAAAUAAAACAGAUGUCUCAUAAGAUUAACUGUCCUAAAGAACAUGUGUCUUGCAAAUGCCAUGGAACUGAAUAUUUAUUUCCUUGUGAGUAUUACGACCGUUACCAAAGGACUCAACCAGAUUUGGGGCUCUUCUUAAUUGAUCAUGUUCAGAAAGGGACUCAUUUGGUCCCACUUUGUAACAUGGGAAGAGUAGAAGAGAAAAUUAAAUGUGGAAAUCAUAAAUGCUUUUCUAACAGGGUUAUGCUAUUCUGUAACACUAAAUGUCUGUCUUUUCUCUUAAAAGAUUAGGUUUUAUUAAUUUGUCAUACAUUUCUCAAUAUUUGAAUAUAUCUUAACCAUUUUAUGUUCCAAAUUCAUUUUUUUGUCCAAGACAUUCUAUCAGAAUUUUACUUGCCUCUAUAAUCUGAAAAAUGGGUUCUAGAAUGUCCCACUUGCUGUCUCUUAGAGGCUGAGCUUCAUUUCUAUGAGCAAAAAGCUCAUUUAGCAAUGUAGUUAUUUCAGUAUUUAUUUCUAUUAUGGAAUCCCUGGGGUUCGGAAUGUAACUUUGUACAUGAAAUAUAUAUAAAUAUGUAUAUGAACAUG
rnacentral:lncRNA from 1 species